rnacentral:ncRNA from 1 species
AGAAUUAAAGGACGGAACAGGCAGCCGUCACCCUGUAUGUAUCGCAUACGGUUAGGAGAUGUGGGAAUAGUCACCCUGCUUAAUUCU